rnacentral:rRNA from 1 species
AGAGUUUGAUCAUGGCUCAAGAACGAACGCUGGCGGCAGGCCUCAAACAUGCAAGUCUAGGGGGUGUAGCAAUACAUCACCGGCGGACGGGUGCGUAACGCGUGGGAAUAUACCUAUCGAUUCGGAACAACUGAGGGAAACUUCAGCUAAUACCGAAUACGUCCUAACGGAGAAAGAUUUAUCGUCGAUAGAUUAGCCCGCGUUCGAUUAGCUAGUUGGUGGGGUAACGGCCCACCAAGGCGACGAUCGAUAGCUGUUCUGAGAGGAAGAUCAGCCACACUGGGACUGAGACACGGCCCAGACUCCUACGGGAGGCAGCAGUUGGGAAUCUUGGACAAUGGGGGAAACCCUGAUCCAGCCAUGCCGCGUGAGUGAUGAAGGCCUUCGGGUUGUAAAACUCUUUCGCGCACGACGAUAAUGACGGUAGUGCGAGAAGAAGCUCCGGCUAACUUCGUG